UACAGAGGUCCCAAGCGUUGUUCGGAUUCAUUGGGCUUAAAGGGUGCGUAGGCGGCGCGGUAAGUCGGGUGUGAAAUCUCGGAGCUUAACUCCGAAACUGCAUUCGAUACUGCCGUGCUUGAGGACUGGAGAGGUGACUGGAAUUUACGGUGUAGCGGUGAAAUGCGUAGAUAUCGUAAGGAAGACCAGUGGCGAAGGCGGGGCUCUGGACAGUUCCUGACGCUGAGGCACGAAGGCCAGGGGAGCAAACGGG
rnacentral:rRNA from 1 species